rnacentral:rRNA from 1 species
ACGUUCAGAUUGCAGGCUGCAACCCGCCUGCAUGAAGUCGGAAUUGCUAGUAAUCGCGGAUCAGCAUGCCGCGGUGAAUACGUUCCCGGGCCUUGUACACACCGCCCGUCAAACCAUGAGAGUUGGCAACACCCGAAGUCGGUAGUCUAACCGCAAGGAGGACGCCGCCGAAGGUGGGGUUGAUGAUUAGGGUUAAGUCGUAACAAGGUAGC